GUGUGUGUGUGCAAGAGGGCGCGCGCGUUAAGAUGUGACUGCGGGGAGCGCACGCCUUUAAAAAAUAAAUUCUUUUUUCUUUUUUUGAAAAAACCCUCGGCUUCCUCUUUCCUACUCUACACACACACAAGUGUGUAGCGCAGUGUGUGUACGGUCGGCUUUGGAAGUUGGUGCGGCGGCGGCGGCGGCGGUAGUAGCGGGCGGUGAAUGCGACUAGUGGCGGCACAGCUCUUGGAAAAGGGGCGGCGCGUAGUUUGGUGUGUGUUGCGGCUCGUGUAGAGACUCGGAGCCCCGUAGCCGAAAAAGGCCCGACACACUGGGCUAAAAGUCUUGGUGCUGUGCCGGCGCACACGCAGUCCAACAGCGGAGAAAAAAAAACAAAUGAAAGACACACACAAAAAGUGGGUGGUGAGAAGUUGGAAAGUCUCCCCUUGGGGCGACAAAGCCGGCCAAUCACACUCGCCGCCGUUAGAUUUUGGCUUUAACCACCCACCCACCCCACAGAUUCGAAUGCGCGCGCUUUCAACACACAGACUGACCUUAGCAACACCCAAUAGGGUGGUGGGCGGGUAGUUUUAUCGGUCUCGCGUUGGCCCUGACCUCUGGUUGAGAAAAUGCGCACCAGAGUUCUUCUUCUUGUUCAAGAAGAAGAAGAAGAAGAAGAAGCAAAAGAGAAGAAGAAAUAGCCUUCGGCGUGGCUGGCCAUUUGAUGUGGGGGAGUGGCAGGUCCACUUUGUUGAGAAGGGUGGAUUUAACUGAACAAAGAUGGAGGAGGAGGAGGAGGAGGGUUGGCUCUUUUGGGCCUAGACCAAAUAAAUGGGAAACGAAAACAAGAAAGAGAAAAAAAAAGUUUUGAAGAAUGGAAUGGUCAAAGAGGAAAUGGUGGACAACAAACCACCACCACCACGUUUCUUUUUACAACCAGCGAUAAAAAUGUCUCCACACACAGUCAACUUUUUUCCUUCGAGGAGGGAAGAAAAAAUAUAUUUAAAAAAGAAAUCUCUCUCCCCCUCUCCUGGAAAAAAAAAAGAAAUUCGAGUCCCUUUCACGCUAACCCUCCCCACCUGACCCAAAGCGCAUAACCAAAAUGGGAGAAAUUGGAGAGGGGGGGGGGAGUCCAAGAUGGCGCGGAAAUUUUUUCGCGGUACAAGAAAGAAGAAGAAGAAGCCUUGUUGAGGAGUAUUUAUAACACUUCCAGCAAGCACCCUUUUCUUCUUCUUCUUCUUCUACACACACGGGCGUAUUAGUAACACAACACACCUGGCGCGGUGAUCAGGUUGCCUUUGAGCAGCGCACACGUCGUCGUCCAUCCUCGUUGGCUAAUUUGAUGGAUUUGACACGGCGGUAAAACGAGGGCCUAAUGAAACCUCCUACUCUCUUUCAACCGCCACCUACUACCGUUUGAGAACCAAGUCCAUCGAUCAAUUCUUCAACUUGAUUGACCAAUCGCUCUGUUAUUAUUACAUUAUUCAAGAAAAAUGAAACCGGCUGGUGGCUAUUAUUUGCUUUAUCUCACCCGACCGACUGACAAGAGAGACCGACCAACCGGAUAUUUAUUUAACCAUUUUUUCUCUCUUUCUUAUGUCGAGUGUGUGUGUGUGUGUCGGGCGUCUCUGUGUUUGGCACGCUCGUCGGGAGAAGCAGAAAAAGUGACAACAAGAACAAACAAGACAAAAAGGAAUGCCAGAUUUUUAUAUUUGUAUUUUUAUUCCUCUUUUCUUUUUUUCUUGUCUUGGAAAAUCAUGGAAAUACAAAACAAAAAUACGGAAAAUGGUUUUUUCCCUUUUCUUUUUUCUAUGUAUGUGUUUUUCUCGGUCUGUCCGGCAGCUGGUUGCCGUUGGCGCGGUCAUCAAAUACACACACGCACAGGCCAGAGAGAAACACACCAAACAGAUUCUCUGAUAAUGUUAUCAGCAGCUAGAGCCCCUGCACUGCCGUAUAUACACACAAGGCAACAAACAUGGGGUUCUCCUAUCUCUUUUAGACUUUUCGAGCUGUGUGUAUAAGUUCGUUUCAGAAAAGAGAAAAUUCGUAGACACACCUAGUUGGCCAUUCCACACCUAGAUGGCCAUAGCGCUCGGCGCCCAAAUUGAUAAUAAAUUCCGGAUAAAUUGUUUGUUUUUUUUUGUUUUCAAAAUAGCAUUGUUAUUAGUCGAAUAAUAUAUUAUGCAAAUACAAAUGGUGAGAAUCA